rnacentral:rRNA from 1 species
CAGUCGCCGCGGGAAUACGGAGGGUGCAAGCGUUAAUCGGAAUUACUGGGCGUAAAGCGCACGCAGGCGGUCUGACAAGUCAGAUGUGAAAUCCCCGGGCUUAACCUGGGAACUGCAUUUGAAACUGUCAGGCUGGAGUCUUGUAGAGGGGGGUGGAAUUCCAGGUGUAGCGGUGAAAUGCGUAGAGAUCUGGAGGAAUACCGAUGGCGAAGGCAGCCAUCUGGCCUAAUACUGACGCUGAGGUACGAAAGCAUGGGGAGCAAACAGGAUUAGAUACCCGUGUAGUCCCUGUCUCUUAUAC